CUUAUACUCCCUCCGUUCGAAAUUAUUUGUCUCGGAUAUGGAUGUAUCUAGAACUAAAAUACAUCUAGAUACAUCCAUUUCUGCGACAAGUAAUUCUGAACGGAGGGAGUAGAUC
rnacentral:pre_miRNA from 1 species